rnacentral:misc_RNA from 1 species
GAUGAAGAACGUAGCGAAAUGCGAUAAGUAAUGUGAAUUGCAGAAUUCAGUGAAUCAUCGAAUCUUUGAACGCACAUUGCGCCCAUUAGCAUUCUAGUGGGCAUGCCUGUUCGAGCGUCAUUUCAACCCUUAAGCCCUGUUGCUUAGCGUUGGGAGCCUACAGUACUGUAGCUCCCCAAAGUUAGUGGCGGAGUCGGUUUCACACUCUAGACGUAGUAAUUUUUUCUCGUCUGUAGUUGAGCCGGUCCCCUGCCGUAAAACACCCAAUUUAUCAAGGUUGACCUCGGAUCAGGUAGGAGUACCCGCUGAACUUAAGCAUAUCAAUAAGCGGAGGA